GCUGCAGAUGGGUGCUUGGUCAUUUGGGCUGAGCAGUCAGGCACAGCUGGAGAUAGUCAGUUCACACUUGUGUGUACUCCUGGCCCAAGAAGCAGUGUGAGAGACCUUGUAGGCAUGAAGUUGGUUGGGUCUUUCUGUAGGGAAGAAGCUAAGGGCUGCUGGAAACCCACACUUUUCUGCUUUGUGUUACCCAUGGGAAUUAAACUUACGGUAUCUCAAUUUAGCUACGUUAGAAGUUAAGCAAUAAUCUUCACUGGUCUGGGCAGUGACGCCAACCUGCAGGCUGCCUUCUCAGCCUGAUGUCAGACCUGCCUUAUCACUGUGGACUUGGCCUGUGAUCUGAACUCCAUGCUGACCCUGGCUGCACUGUAACAGGUGCAAAUGUGAUAAUGCGUCACAGAAGAAAGUAUCACAACAUGUCUCAAUGUGUCUCAUCUUCUGAUGAGAACUCCAGACCACUUCUGCACAGCUGUCUGAACAGAGCUCCCAUCUGAUCUUUAUCGUUUCACUCCUAGCAAUGGAAGUGGCUGUCUGAUCUUGACUUUUCACCACACCCAGACUUCCCAUUGACUUCAAGGAGCAGGACUCUGUGGGGGCAGUGUGAAAGUCACCCAAUAAAGGUUUUCAAGAGGAAGCAGCUGAAUUCAUCUCCUUCAGAAUUUACAUAGAUCUGGAAGAUGCUGACAGGUUUGCUACGGCAAGCACAACACGCGGUGUCAACUGAAGUGGUACGACAAAACGAAGAAGGACCAUGCAGAGCAGCCCCAGUGUCUGCAUGACAACCCUUCCUUCCUGCUCCUCGGCGUGCUGACUGCAGAGCCCCCUCUCUCAGCCCCCAGAUGGGAAGGGGCUCUCGCAGACAUUAUCUGUGGCUCCCAAGGAGCUGCCACAGAUGCAGAUUCACUGCCAUUUUGGAGUGAGUGGUAGGAAAUGGCAGUGGAAGCACCAGUCUCUAAGACAGGCUGGGUUAUUGUUGUUUCCUCCAUGAAGAAUUUGCCACAAACACUUUGCUAAUCCUCGGCUCAAAUUAGAGACUUCUCAUGUCUGAUGCUGCGUGCAUAAAGAACACAUUACCUUUAGAGCUGGACAAAGACUAGGGCAGCUGUAAAGGGCCCCAAAGCAGCACAGAGAACCACGUGCAAUGCUGGAGCAAGGGAAAGCCUGACCCAGCCUCAUCUCCCAGCCACCUCUGAAGCAGCGUUGGAGACGCUGGGACACAGCAAGGCUUUGCCAGCUGCAUCACUAGCACGUGGUACAGCUACAGCAGAUUGAUCUUGUGCCUGGAUAACCCUAAUAAUGCUGUGAUUAAUUAUAAACCCUGCUUCUGUAAGGUUUGGAGGGGAAGAAACCUCCUCCUUCUGCUGAGGAGAAAGAGAAGUGAUGCCCUUGAAUAGCACUGUUUGUAUAAAUGAUUGUGCUUUUUACCCAGAGUUCAUCUGCUGAGUUCUCUGGUUUGGGAGGAGCCUGUGUGAGUUUUGAUGUGUAAAGCAGGGUAAUGGAUUUUCGUUAUUAAAGGGCUUACAAAUUGGCUGGCAAGCCCCAGGUGAGAGGUCACUGUGCAAAUAAAAGGUUUGAGCUGAGUGAGGAAGCUUGGGUUUGACUGAGAGGACAGGGAAAAAAGGUUUUGCUCUGCAGGAUGGCAGGUCAGCCUGUCUGAACAGAAACUAUCUCACAGGCCCUUUUUUUGCUCCAAGUUUCUCCAUCAGGCUAUUUGCAGCGUGCUGUGCAGGGCUGAUAACAGCAGAAUUAAUUCAAUCAUGAGGUUUUAAUAAAUCUGUCUGCAGCAGAGAGGACCUGAAUUUGUCACAGGUUUGGCUAAGGCAGUCUGUGCAGUGUAAGAGGAUCUGACCACAGACUGACAGAGCACCCCUCAGGCCAGGUGCCAGUGCUGUGCGUGUGGUACUGGUGCCAGUGGGGCAUCUAAAGCCUGGCUCUUCAUAUUUGGGGGCUCGGAGGGGUUAGGAGUGGGAUGGCUGCUCCCCUUGACCACAGGUUCGCCAUGCCUUCUGUUUCAGGGGUGGCAAACACAGGCUUCCACCAGAAAAGAGAGGUCUCAAGAAACAAAACUGGAAGGAGCAAUUAACAGUGUUUAUGAUGGGCUUGGUCCAGCACUGUCCGUAAAACCGCCCACAGUAUCUCCAGCUAUGGUGACAGGCUCUUCAUCUCAGUAUAAUCUUUCCCUUUGACAGCUCCAACUCCUCCAAUGAUAUGGGAUUCCCACCUCUCAUUUUAAAGAAAGAAAGGAUAAAGAACUGCCUUUCUAGUCCACAGGCUUACAAAGAGAUAUUAAAACGUUUGCCCCCUGCAUUCUGAAAGAUGGCUAGCAAAUAAGUGUAACUCAAAAUACAUAGAUUAAAAUGUCACGUGCCAUCAAGUUGAUACGAACCUUCAGGUUUUUGAGGACUCUGCUUGUGUCUUCUGAGUUUAGUUAUGCAGCAGGCAAGAUUGCCAUGCUUGCCUAUGCAAUUCCAUGUCAAAUACACUUCACUGACAAGCAAAGAAAUGCAAAUGUAAGUUGGGAUUUCAGACUCCUGACUGUUUCUGUCCCCUUUGCACACUGUAAUGAAGACUAAUCAGAAACUGCCUUCACGCAACACCGCUGGCUUUAAUUACUGACUUUCAGGAGGCAUUUACACAAUGGAGGUUUAAUAGUAACUUGAGGGGAGGCAGGAGGAAAGAGAUCUCAGCAGGAAGGGAGACCCUCCUCUGCCUCUCAGCUCUCCGGGAUUUGGAAGGCCAAGAGGGAUUCGGCAGAUGCAAAGUAAUGGCACUUUGUGUACUGAAGGCAGCUCAGCAGCAGCUGUGAAGAGCAUCUCAGAGACAAUGCAGGCCUGGGGAUAAAGGUGGCUGUGACAAGUUCCUUAAACUUAUCUAAUCCUCUAGCAAGAGAAAUAUCAGCCUUAAUGCUUUUUAACUGCUGGACAAAAUGUAGGCACCUAUCUCCCCUUGUGGGGGAGCUGCAUUAGGUGGCACGAGGGGUAGUUUUCCCUUUGUUCCUAAGGCUGCAGGGAAGGAGACAACUUGCACAUGUGAGGUACAGGCCACGGUGUGGAUCCAACAAGCAGGGAUAAGCUUUCCCAGGUCCCACAGUGCUCUUUGGCUCAAGCUGUGCUCUGGCAGCAGCAGUCUAGACAGGACAAUUUGGGAUGGCAGCUUUACUUAGGGCCUCCGGAGGAGCCUGAGGUAGACUCAAGCUUUUGAUUCAUAUUCAGGCUGUGUUCUCUUGUGUUCAGCACUGCCUUAACCCAAACCAAAGAGGCCUUUUUUUUUUUUUCCUCUCCUUCAUGAACCUCACUCAGGUGUCUUUCCUGCAGCAAAAUCCUCUCCUUCCCUAACCAUCACUGUUUUCCCAGCUGCCCAGAGCUCUGUCUAUUCUUUCUUUGCAGUCUGGUCAACUUGUAGGAGUAAAACUCAAAGACCUCCCCAAAAUCCUGCAGCCCAGAUGCAGCAGGAGUCUUCUUCCUCCUACACAGUGCUCUGCAGGGGUUGAAAAAGUCCUGAGGAUGCUAGAAUAUGUUAAGGAAAGACAGUUGUGCUGCCAUGUGCU